rnacentral:misc_RNA from 1 species
GCCAGAAGAUUGCAACACGGAUGGCAUGUCCACUGUCGUUGUUCCCUCCUUGGCCAGGGAAGAAGGCUUUGAACUUGAUAACUCUUUGAGUUGCCGGGUCUUGGUUUCAGCAGACAGAUAAUGAAGCCGGAAAGUCACACUGGCUGAUCCAAAAGGACUGGAAAGUUGAGAAUAAUUAAAUGCUUCUUCUGCAUCAGGACUUUUUAAGAAGACUAUCCUUGCACAGUAAUUAGUGUAGAACAUCUCAGUUUCAUCUUUGUUCAAAGCCCCGAAUUUUCCAUAUAUUUUAAGGAGAUCGUUCUUUGAAGGCAAAGAAGAUCCUGGACCAAAUGUCACAAAAAGGGCAGCGCCUGUAGCUUGGCCUUCAGAUUCCUUAUCCUUUGCCUUCAUUUCUUGUGCACUGACAGCUUGUUUUCCUUUAGGUUCAUCCAAUUUUGCUUCUUCACUCUUUUUGGUGUUUGUCCUCUGGGAUUUACGUUCAGAUGAACUGUGGUCAGACUGAUUUUGCUCCUUUACCAGUGGCACAGUAUCAGAUUUUUGGGACUUCCUCUUUUUCCCUGGAUGAUGUUCAAUGUACAUAUCAUUAUCAGACCCAUUGCAAUGGAUUGAACUUCUGAAUGCAGAAAAAAAUUUCCCAACCGUAUCAAGUGAGUUGGUGUCCUUCAGAUGCUGUGGACUGAGAGCCGCAAACCGUAUUUUGGAUAGAACUUCACUAGCAGGUACCUUAACUAUCAUCAGAUCAAUGUUGUUCUGUUCUUGUCUUGGUGUUUG